UACAGAGGUCUCAAGCGUUGUUCGGAUUCAUUGGGCGUAAAGGGUUCGUAGGUGGCCAACUAAGUCAGACGUGAAAUCCCUCAGCUUAACUGGGGAACUGCGUCUGAGACUGGAUGGCUUGAGUGCAGGAGAGGAACGCGGAAUUCCAGGUGUAGCGGUGAAAUGCGUAGAUAUCUGGAGGAACACCGGUGGCGAAGGCGGCGUUCUGGACUGCUACUGACACUGAGGAACGAAAGCCAGGGGAGCAAACGGG
rnacentral:rRNA from 1 species